rnacentral:rRNA from 1 species
GACGAACGCUGGCGGCGUGCUUAACACAUGCAAGUCGAACGGUGAAGGGACCGGUUUUUGCUGGUUCUGGAUGAGUGGCGAACGGGUGAGUAACACGUGAGUAACCUGCCCCCUUCUUCUGGAUAACCGCAUGAAAGGGUGGCUAAUACGGGAUAUUCUGCGCCUGCUGCAUGGUGGGUGUGGGAAAGAUAUUGUUUCGGUGUGGGAUGGGCUCGCGGCCUAUCAGCUUGUUGGUGGGGUGAUGGCCUACCAAGGCGGUGACGGGUAGCCGGCCUGAGAGGGUGGACGGUCACACUGGGACUGAGACACGGACACGACUCCUACGGGAGGCAGCAGUGGGGAAUAUUGCACAAUGGGCGCAAGCCUGAUGCAGCGACGCCGCGUGAGGGAUGGAGGCCUUCGGGUUGUAAACCUCUUUCGCCAGUGAAGCAGGCCUGUCCCUUUUGUGGGUGGGUUGACGGUAGCUGGAUAAGAAGCGCCGGCUAACUACGUG